rnacentral:lncRNA from 1 species
UGUAACAGUGCGGUAUGGAAGUGCAAUCGAACCAUCAAAAAACCAACAGAUGGGCCUUGGGAGGAUUGCAUCCAUAGGUAUCCCGUUCAUAUCCCUGAAGUUGUCAAGCUCUAGACAGCUUCUUCAUUCAUGGCCUUCCUUCUUUGCCUUUAGUAUUUUGCUAAAAUCAUCAUCAUCAUCAUCAUCAUCAUCAUCGUCAUCAUCAUCAUCAUCUACUUCUUAUCCUACUCCAUCUCUGCCUUUAUAUUUCUCCUCUGUAUUUUUCUUAGCUCCUACUCAUUUGUCUCUCCUCUUCCUUUUCCAUUUUCUCUUUUCAAGCCAUGAAUUCACAUAGAUACCAAAUAUGAUCACAUUUAUGUGUUGACUAAAUAUAUCCCUUGCAAGGGAAUGAAAAAACAGUGUGGAAACAGGUUGGAUUAGCUCCUUGAAAUAAACCUGGAAUAUUUAACAGAAAAUGCUAUAUAUGUGCUUGAUUGUACAAAGAAAAAAAAAGAAAGUUAUAGCUAAAUUUGUCAAUCAUAAUAAUAGUCUUUUUUCCCUCAUCUUUUUAAUCCUUUUGGUGCUGUCCCUGUAGGGUCCCCUUAUUAAUGCCGGUUACCGUCUUUGUAGG